AACAUGAUAUAAUUCUGAGGCUAUGCUUGAACCCCUACACGAACUAGGCAUGGUGGGAAUGACUUAACUAAGUACAAUGACGCCAACAUGAUAUAAUUCUGAGGCAUCAUUUUCUAGAGGCCAAAUUAGAUGGGUACUUGCAAGAGAUGCAAAUGAGUAAGCGUACUCUAUCAUUAUUAUUAACGCUAGCCAACAUGAUAUAAUUCUGAGGUGGGCUUGGUAAUAGUGAGCCUCCCAUACCCUACUAAGAGUUUCUUCCAAAACUCUCGAAUUCCAAUGAGGGAUAUGGAAUUUGCCAAAAAUAGUGGGUGGUGCUAUUUGAUUUAAAGACCCGGUUCAAAUGGCUUAAAAUCAAUCAAUUUAUAUUCGUUAUUUAUUUGUUUACCAAUAUAUUUGCAAACGCUAUCCAACACUUGACAAAUAAAAGCUGAAAGCUUUAGUUUCCGUACUUGGUACUUCAAAACCAUAGAUUGUCUUUAAUGGCUUGUAAAUGUACCUAAGUAGUCUCAUCCUCACAAUCUUCCUAUUGAUAAUGUAUCAUUAGAAGAAUAUGUUAGAAAAAGGUCUAUCAUAAAGAGGACAACACUUUUAAUGUCAUAAUUCUUCAAUUACAAUUUGUUGUAUGAAGAAAUAAGAGUUGCUUUGAACAACCCUUAAUCAAUGCAAACAUUUAUGCUUGUUUCUUUGUUAAAUGAACAAAGAAAUUGGGAAGAAAGCACAAAGGCAUGGACACUUAAUGUGCCAUGAUUCUUCACUUACAAUUUGUUGUAUGAAGAAAUAAGAGUUGCCUUGUACAACUCUUGAAAGUUUGUAAUUAUGUUUAGAACAUAAUGGUUGGUUGACAAAAUAGUCCAUCAACAUGGACUUAUGAUGAUUUUGAAUCAUUGAUGUGGAUGCAAAUUUUCUCCUCUUCGAUCUUGGACGAUUUUGCACCUACAAAA
rnacentral:lncRNA from 1 species